rnacentral:rRNA from 1 species
UACGUAGGGCGCAAGCGUAUCCGGAAUAUUUGGGCGUAAAGAGCUCGUAGGCGGUUUUGUCGCGUCUGCCGUGAAAGUCCGGGGCUCAACUCCGGAUCUGCGGUGGGUACGGGGCAGACUAGAGUGAUGUAGGGGAGACUGGAAUUCCUGGUGUAGCGGUGAAAUGCGCAGAUAUCAGGAGGAACACCGAUGGCGAAGGCAGGUCUCUGGGCAUUAACUACGCUGAGGAGCGAAAAGCAUGGGGAGCGA